AUUGAACGCUGGCGGCAGGCCUAACACAUGCAAGUCGAACGGUAACAGGAAGCAGCUUGCUGCUUCGCUGACGAGUGGCGGACGGGUGAGUAAUGUCUGGGAAACUGCCUGAUGGAGGGGGAUAACUACUGGAAACGGUAGCUAAUACCGCAUAACGUCGCAAGACCAAAGAGGGGGACCUUAGGGCCUCUUGCCAUCGGAUGUGCCCAGAUGGGAUUAGCUAGUAGGUGGGGUAACGGCUCACCUAGGCGACGAUCCCUAGCUGGUCUGAGAGGAUGACCAGCCACACUGGAACUGAGACACGGUCCAGACUCCUACGGGAGGCAGCAGUGGGGAAUAUUGCACAAUGGGCGCAAGCCUGAUGCAGCCAUGCCGUGUGUAUGAAGAAGGCCUUCGGGUUGUAAAGUACUUUCAGCGGGGAGGAAGGGAGUAAAGUUAAUACCUUUGCUCAUUGACGUUACCCGCAGAAGAAGCACCGGCUAACUCCGUG
rnacentral:rRNA from 1 species